GGGGUUAUAGCUCAGUGGCACAGUGCCUGCCUGGCAAGCGUGAAGUCAUGAGUUUGAUUCCCAGUACUCCCC
rnacentral:tRNA from 1 species